UACAGAGGGUGCGAGCGUUAAUCGGAAUUACUGGGCGUAAAGCGCGCGUAGGCGGCUUUGCAAGUCGGAUGUGAAAUCCCCAGGCUCAACCUGGGAACUGCAUUCGAGACUGCUUUGCUAGAGUAUGGGAGAGGGAAGUGGAAUUUCCGGUGUAGCGGUGAAAUGCGUAGAUAUCGGAGGAACACCGGUGGCGAAGGCGGCAUCCUGGACCGAUAUUGACGCUGAUGCGCGAAAGCCAGGGGAGCAAACGGG
rnacentral:rRNA from 1 species